GACAGGUGCGUAUACAUGUUUCACUUCUUUGUAAAGUCAUUAUGAAGAAAUUUAUACAACAGCAUGGGCAUAUUUUAUUUGGUUUGAUUUUCAGCUGAUUUUUGUUUGAAGUCGGUUGGAACAAACAUCAGUGUAUUUCUGUUUAUUACCAUGCUUCUCAUUGUGUUUAAUUGCAUCUUGAUAGGAUGAGGGUGUGGUUUCCAAAGAAAAGCAAUAAAUCGAUGGAUGAACAGCUGUGAAUGCUUUUAAUAAUAAUGGUUUGAUUUUGUAGAAGUUUGUAUGCUUUUAUGAACGAAUAAUAGUUCAAAUUUUGAAACUUAACUGGCAUUUUCACACUAAGAUCAAAUACACAUUAGUGCAGAAUAUUCAAAUUAAAGAGGCUUUUGACUCGGAAAACUCUGGGGCUAUAAAUACAAUUUAUUAAUAUGUAAAAUAAUGUUUUAAAUAAUACUAUUUUGUACUUAUUACCUUCAAAACCAGAAGUGUGAUCCCAGAACCUUUGUUCAUUACUUUUUUCAAAGCUAUUUAUUUUGAAUUAUCUCAUGAUAUGUUCACAAAAGGUGGUAAUUCUGUAAAGUAUGAUUUAAUGAAACUGCAUCUUGUUUGUAAUUAUGCCUAGAGUACUAGAAGUAAUGGAUUUUUCUUUUUACUGUUGUAUUUUAAUUUUCAUUUAAAUUGUAACUCCUGAAAUUUUUUUUUUUUUUGAAGAGCUGGAAUGAGGCUUUAAGCUCCAUCAAGCUGCUUGGAUUUAAUCAUACUUUAAGAAAUUUAGAUAUUAGCUUGUGGGAUUUUUGUUUUGGAGGUGAUGAGUCAAGGAUUGCUUUGUUUAAUUAGCUAUUUUAAGAGUAAUGAAGGAUUUUUUUUAUUUAAGACUCAUUCAAAGCUUGAGAACACCCUAGCGCCUAAAUAAAAUCCACAGCAUUCAAAAUGUACCCCCUUUUAUAUAAUGCUAAUUCAAAGGAAGGAUUUAGUUUUAAAUUUGCGAACAUGUAGGAUAACUUACAGUAAAUAUAUAAUUCUUAACAUUUAUAUACAAUUACCUAUAUUUCUGAAAUAGUACUUCUCAUUCAUUUUCCAUUUGUAAGAACUGGAAAGCAAAGGUGUAGAAUGGUAUUGCUUAUAGCAUCGUACUUCUUUUUUAAAGUUAGACUUACUUUAGAGAAGAAUAAAUAAGAGAAAGUGUUCUGAUAGUAGUGCUUUUCAUUUGUCCUUCAUACUAAUUUUUUUUAUGCAAGCAGAAGAGUAGUAUUUGAUUUUUUUUAAUGCGAUAACUUUUUAAAAUUUUAUUGUACACUUCCAUAGAGUCUGGGAUCACCCCCCAAAAAUUCCCACCCCCUGGCUGAUUUUCCCCAUAUUAAAUGCUAUAACUUUCUGACGUGUGUUUAUAGGCUAUGGCCUCAAAUGUUUAUAUGUAACACUAAAUGUGUUCUAAUCGGUAUCAACUUUAGUUUUUAUCAAGAACUGCAGCAAGGGGAAAAAUUUCAUACUAACUUAUAUUCCAGGUUUCAUUUUUUGUCAUGAUUCUUGUGCUACAUUUUUGUUUUGUAAAGAUUUAAAGAUAUUUUCAUUUCAUGUUUAUUGGUAUGUUGUAUCUAUUCAAAAUGUCAUAAAAUAUAUCAUUCAGAAAUACUGGAAAAUUUGUUCCCCCCCACACACAAAAAAAUUCCAAAAACUUAGCCAUUUCUUCUACAUAACACAUAAGCUUUCUCAAAUUAGAUUAUAAACAUGCCCUGUUUUGGAAAUUAUUUUAUAAAAAUUAUCUCUUAUUUUAACAUAUUAAUAUCCUAAAAUUGACUUUUGUUGUUUUGCUUCAUGAAGCUUACUAAUGUCCGCAUUGAUUUUUUUUAUACCCCUUUUCAGGAAAAAGAUUACUGUUAUGAUAUCUAAAACACAAUAAAAUUCUGCAAUUUAAAAACUGUGGUAGGCAACUAGUUAGAACUGUGUGUACAUAAUUAGAACUCAAGGUAUUACUUGCUGAAAUGUUAUAGCUCAAAAUCUUGUAAGACCAAAGGAAAUCAGUAAAGUAUCACUUUAUUUCAAAAAAGUAUGUUGAAAGUAAGUUUAAUAUGCAGAAGUGACAGCAUUAGAACCUUAAAAUCAGUAACUGUCUUAAGAGUCACGAUGUCAGUUUUAGAAUCCCAUGUAACUAAUGUGUCUAUGAAUAUAUUUGAUUAUUUGCAUUACAAAUGCUGGUAUACAUCCUUCAAAUAAAUAUUUCUUUCUGAUAGAUGCAUUUUUUUUUUUUUCCGUGUCAGGGAUGAUGUAUUUUUUGUUGUUUUGGACAAAAAGGCAAGUUUAAGUUGGAAUUGAUAUUAAGCACAAAUAUACUCUUAAGUGUUAGUAUUUUUUAAUCAAAAUGUUUUGUAUACUUUUGUUUAAUCUUGUAAGUUUAAAGAAUGUUUACGAUGGGAAAACUUGUAGUCACUAUAUCGGACUUAUUUUGUAAUAGAUUAGAGUUUACUAUUUUGAAGGGUCUUUUUUGUCUUUCUAUCAUACCUACUUGAUUUAUCAUGUCUUAUUUAAAUCUUUCAUUUCUUAUUAUGUGACAUUUCCCUACGGUUCAAAAACAUGUUGUAUUAAAAUUUUAAUAUUUGGUAUGAAAUAAUUUUGUUUUCCGUGGUUUAACUUCUAUAAUAUUUACAUUCAAGAUGCCUUAAUUUUCAGAAUGUGCAGAGAUAGAAAAUUUUAUCUUUUGGGGAAGACUAUUUAAAAAUUAAGAUUUUUAAAAACCUUGUGUUUGGAGUGGUGUUGCAUGAUUGUAUGGUUUUCGUUACUAAUCAUUUACUUAGUGACAGACACAUUGUUGAUUUUCAUUCUUUUGUUUUCUGAGCAAUUCUUAAAAUGAAAAACUCAUCAACAUUAUGCUUCAUAUGUAGUACAGUUCAACUUUGCUAACGUAAAUAAGUUCUUAUUUUUGUGUAGCUGUAUGCCCUCAUUUGUAAAGAUUCAGAAAGGAGAAACAAACGAAAAAUUCACUUACACUUAUGUCUCACCUGUUUUGGGAAACAUUUUUUUAAACUUACAAUUGUCCAAGGGCAGUCAAUUUAUUAUUACUUGCAAUUAUUUUAAUUGGUUUAAGAAAAAAUGUCUAAGUUUUGAUAUGUUAGAACUGUAAUGUAUUAAAACUUUUAGAAAUGUCGAUUUAAGUCACUUCAGCUUAGCAAGUCAUUCAGGUUGAAAAUCAUGGUACUUUCUGCCAUUAACAACGUUUGAUAAUUUGGGAAGCAGGGCUGAUCAAUUUUGUCCUAUUGCCGUGAGUAGUUUUGAAAAUUAGGGGUUUUGUGAGUUUUAGAAACAUAGGCAGAAUGUUUUCUUUUGAAGUUCCUCUAUACCAGUCUUUUAAUAGCUACCUACCUACACAAGCACAGCAAACAUCUUCAACUAGUCCUCUAACAGCUACAUACACACACUCAUUCUACUCAGCCACACCGCUUUGUAAAUGAGUGCCCUGACAAGAAAUGAAAGCAGAAAUAUAUUAAUCUGAUUUGUCUGAAGAGGCUUCGGAUGAUAGAGCAUAUCACAGGUGUUUCUAAUCAAGUUAUUUCUGUUUUGAAACAGUAUUUUCUAGUUAAUGCUGCUUUGAACACUGGCAAGGUUGGGGUCGUUUUGAAGACCUUACCUCUGUGUUCCAGGAUCAACUGUGGAACUCCAGGAGGCAGAAAUCUGUUGAAUGUCUUCAUACUAUAAUACAUGACAUUUUUAUUGCAGGUUUUGACCUUUAGGAGAGAGCCAAUUAUGGAGAACAACCUAACUUCUUUGAUUGAAUACUCACAUAAAUCACUGGAACAUGAUAUGAGAGUAACGAAUUUUUUAAGGCUUAAUAAUGGUUAAAAUGAAGAGAAUAAUAAAACAAGUCUCUACUUAACUGAGAAAUUCCUACCUUUUGCCGGUGAUUACACCAGUCUGUGUCUUUACUGGUCAGUUUCACAGUUCCUGUUAUAUCCAAAAUAGGAAAAAAUUGUCCCAACAUUGUUAUCGAAUCUUAAUGGAUUCCUAAUUUUGAUGAGCAACAAAAUGGAAGAUCUCACAGUACCAAAUUUCAACUGAUAAAUCCAUGCUAAUUUAAACUAUGGUAGAGUCAUAAUGACAAACAUGAUGCAAAGGUCUAUAAAUGAAACACUGCAUGGGGCGGGCAUUGUGGUAUAGCAGUUGAAACUGCUGUCUACAUCACCAGCAUGCAAUAGGGUGCCAGUUUAGGACUCGGCUUAUGGCCUAGGGAAGCAGCAGAGUUUGACCCAAGUGUCAGGCUCCUGCUACUCAUGUGAGAGACCCCAAUGAAACUCUUUGUGAGAGGCUGGCAUGGUGGGGAGCCUAACAAUAUGACAGUUCCUUAAUGAAACUGAGAAGUUUGUAGCUAUUUCUGAAAUCUUAGCCAACAAUUUGGGUUACCUGUCGAAACUGUGCAGAAAUUGGGGCCGGUAAUGGGUGAAUCCAUAGAUUUCCUGGAGGACAUACAUUUAACAUUGGAGAAAAUGAACAAUUUACCAUGCAUGCCUCUAUGGCAUUGUGGUUUGUAUAAACAGUUGUUUGUUAGAAUGAAGGGACCAGUUUCAGUCAGUGCUUCUGUUAUUGUUCUAUUUGAAUAGAAGUGUCGUUUCUUAGUGUACUCUUAGUGAUGGGAAAAUGGGUAAGAAAAGAUGGUUGAGGCUUAGUGAUUUAACUCCUACCUACCAUUCUGGCUUCUCAUGUGAACUCUGGUUUGGGUCCUAUAUGUGCUUCAUUUUGAAUGGCAACUCACUGCAGAUGUACCUGAAAAGGUAAAAGACCUCCUUCUUCACUCUACCUUUUUCCCUCUCUCCGUGUCCCAUCCCUCUUUCCUUUUCUCUGUAACUCUGCCUUUCGAAAUAAUAAAAAUUAAUCUUGUUGGAAAAAAAAGUAGUGUCAUUUUCUGACAAUCUUGAAGUGAUUCCUGUAUCUGAAUAAACUUGAGAAAUGUUUUUUUUUUUUUUUUCU